UACGUAGGGUGCGAGCGUUUAAUCGGAAUUACUGGGCGUAAAGCGUGCGCAGGCGGUUUGUUAAGACAGAUGUGAAAUCCCCGGGCUUAACCUGGGAACUGCAUUUGUGACUGGCAAGCUAGAGUAUGGCAGAGGGGGGUAGAAUUCCACGUGUAGCAGUGAAAUGCGUAGAGAUGUGGAGGAAUACCGAUGGCGAAGGCAGCCCCCUGGGCCAAUACUGACGCUCAUGCACGAAAGCGUGGGGAGCAAACAGG
rnacentral:rRNA from 1 species